GUCUCUGCGAUUGCCAACAACAAUUCCAUUAAAACGACGAUUCACAAAUCCGAAGACGCCAAUCCCUUGAGCGAAAAGAAAAAAGAAGCAAGGCACAUAGAGCGAAUCCAUGAGAAAAUGCUUGCAGCAGCAACAAAAUCAAGAGUUAUAGCCAUUAUUCACCACGUGCGCACGUUAGCUUUGGCCGCCAGUUCUUUCGCUUUCAGAUCGCCAUGUCCAGAUUUUUGAUGUUUGGAAAUAUAAAGAGAGUUGCAAGGUCGAUCAUUUUGAGCCAGAAAAAUAGCCAAUCUGAAUUGAGGAAGUAUGGGGCGGUAGUUACAGUUGGCUUACAUUUACCCCAUUACAGAUUCUAUGCACAUCAUAGAUUUCCUAGUAGAGGGCAUUCGUCUAUUGGAUUCUGUGGUGUCAAGGAUGAUGUAUGCCGGAAUUAUUUUUCUAGGAAGUACUCUAUUGUGUCGGCAAGUAAUGCAGUAACACAUCAUGCCCAACUUGCUUGGAAAAGGGUUUUCAGAAAAGGUUCUGCCAGUGACCAUACUUUCCCCAACAUAAGCAAGAUUGCUCAAGCAAUCAGCUUGGCUUUGACACGAUCACACCUAGUUGUCCCUGGUGUGUUUGCAAUCACUUGUGGGCAGGUGGCAUGGGCACAGAGAACACUGGCAGAAACAGACUACUACCCAUUACCAAAUUCUUUGUACAUGCGUGCCCAAGAUGGGCGUGCUUAUGUAUUCUCAUUGGUGCUAGCCAUUGUGGAAGGUUUUGUUUUGCUAGUGAGAGCUCUCUAUUUGGGAAUUUUGUUCUCACCUAGCUUAAUAAUGGCACCAUUUGCGGAUUCUUGUGGACCAAAAUUUAGGAAAAUGUGGCUUCAGGUUGUUCAUCGCACCCUGGAAAAAGCAGGUCCAGCAUUCAUAAAAUGGGGUCAAUGGGCAGCAACGCGGCCAGAUUUAUUUGCUAGAGAUUUGUGCACAAAACUUUCAGAGCUACACACCAAAGCUCCUGAACAUAGCUUUGCUUACACAAGAAAAACUAUUGAAAGAGCAUUUGGCCGGAAGCUUUCUGAGAUUUUUGAGGGUUUUGAAGAGGUGCCUGUUGCAUCUGGAAGUAUUGCUCAAGUGCAUCGAGCCUCUUUGAGGUUUCGGUACCCUGGUCAAAAACUGGCAAAGCCUACAAUAGUUGCUGUGAAAGUCAGGCAUCCUGGCGUUGGUGAAUCAAUUAGGAGAGAUUUUGAGAUAAUCAACUUAGUAGCUAAAAUGUCAAAGUUCAUUCCUACUUUGAACUGGUUGAGGUUGGAUGAGAGCGUCCAGCAGUUUGCGGUUUUCAUGAUGUCUCAAGUUGACCUUGCUAGGGAAGCUGCACAUUUGAGCCGCUUUAUUUAUAAUUUCCGAAGAUGGAAGGAUGUUUCUUUUCCAAAGCCUGUAUACCCGCUUGUGCAUCCUGCUGUUUUGGUGGAAACCUAUGAGCAAGGGGAAUGUGUCUCACACUAUGUUGACGAAAUUGAAGGACACAAUCGGAUUAAAUCUGCACUUGCUCACAUUGGGACUCAUGCACUUCUGAAAAUGCUUUUGGUUGACAACUUUAUUCAUGCAGACAUGCAUCCUGGAAAUAUCCUUGUUCGGGUGUCUGAAAAGAAGUCUUCUCGGAAAGGGCUCUUUAAAUCAAAGCCCCAUGUCAUUUUCCUUGAUGUGGGUAUGACUGCUGAACUUUCCAAGAGUGAUCAAGUAAAUUUAAUUGAGUUUUUUAAGGCUGUAGCCCUUCGAGAUGGCCGCACUGCAGCAGAGUGCACACUGAGAUUAUCAAAGCAACAAAAUUGCCCAGAUCCAAAAGCUUUUAUUGAGGUAAGAUAAACAGCACUCAGCAUCUUUACUGGGAUUGAUUAUGUUAAGACUGCAAUGAGUUUCCUCUCUAUUAGAAUGGUUGGACUUUAUGUUAGUUUGCUUGGUGUAAACAAACUUACAGUUGACUAUUAGAGGAUAAAAUAUGGUCUCUUAUGUGGUGAUAGACUGGGAAGGGCUUCAUUGGGGUCUUCAGCUUGAACUUAAUAAGCAAAUAUUAUUAUAUCAUGAAUUUAAGAUAUUAGUGUUGUUGGGUAAUUUCAAAUGUAUUCAAGUCUUUGUUUUUUUAUUUUCUGAAAUGGGUGAAGUCCUUAAUACAUAUUCAAUUAAUGCUUUCAACUUUUUGCAUAUUAAGUGGACUAUUACAGUCACAUAAUAAAGUCUUGAGCAUUGGAAUAUUUUCUCCCUUGUGUUUGUGUUUAUCUUCUUCACUGCAUAAUUUUCUGGCUUCAAUCUUGGAUGUGUUGUUCUGAGUAACAGGAAGUGGAAGAGGCAUUCACCUUUUGGGGUACUCCAGAGGGUGAUCUAAUUCAUCCUGCGGAGUGCAUGCAAGAAUUACUUGAGAAAGUCAGGCAUCAUAAAGUCAACAUUGAUGGCAAUGUUUGCACCGUGAUGGUCACAACUUUAGUUCUUGAGGGCUGGCAGCGGAAGCUGGAUCCUGGAUACAAUGUAAUGCACACAUUACAAACACUGCUUCUCCGAGCUGACUGGGCGAAGUCUCUUUCGUACACAAUUGAUGGGCUGAUGGCACCAUGAGAAGUGGCGAAGGUUGACAAGACAGGACAUCAGUAGACUGGUACUGAUUAUUUUAGAGUGAUCUUGAUGCCCAUUCUCAAGUGUUUAGGUAUUUUUUUUUUGGCUGGAACUCUUUUGAAUUCUUUACUGUUGAAUUGUAUCAAAAUGGAGAAGAGAGGCAUCCAUAGGUGGUUGCUUAGUUGAGCAUUUAGAGAAAUUGCUGCUAUGAGCACCACUGAAUUGCAAUUACAAAGAAGAAUUGCUAUUCUAACUGAUUUGAUGGCGGCUGGUAUUAUUGCGACCUUAUCUAUUCCAACAUAAUGAGAUCCACUGGAUUCAUCCACGAACAAGCAAGAAAGGAGCUUGUACUGUGAAUUUUAUGUUCCAGGAUUUAUAGAUAUGACAUUUUGCGCGGCAGAUAAACUUGGUUGGACUUUUAAUUUGAUUGCUUCAUAUGAUAAAUGAUAAUGAAUUUUACUUAAUGGUUGCCUGGA
rnacentral:misc_RNA from 1 species